GGUCUGGAGUGAACCUCAUGAAGUUCUGCAGAGACAACAGGGUGUCCUGUGCUAGGAUGAGUGGACUAAGACCCUGCAGUGGCGUAGGCUGAGGACUGCCUGGCAAGAGAGUAGCUCUGCUAAAAGACACUGUUCAAAAGGAGAUCAGCAGCUUUGUGGCCAAGUGUGAAGAUGACAGUGUUGAAAAUGAAGGAGAAUCUUAGGUCAUAAAUAAUUGCCUUGUGACCCAAACGACGGUUUGAACCAGUGGAAGAGAAUUCAGUAGUGGAAGAGCAGCUAUCUGUUCUCCUGGAAGCAUUCCAGAAGCACUAAAGUUGCCCAUAAAGUGAUGUUUUGAAGACUAGUCCAGCUGUUUCCAGUGCCUAUUUUUCAUUCCUCGGAGUGGACGGCCUCCUUUUUGAAUGUUGCUGCAUGGAGAGAGAAGAGAGUGAAGAGUUGGACCAGGAGGAUGGAAAGGAGAGGAAUGGAGUGGUGAAUGUUAAGUGGGGAUCAUUAGAAGAAGGGCCUGGACCCUUAGGGAAAAUGAUCUCAACGAUAUCAUCAUGAUUUAGUUUCUGGAGCCAAAUGAAUGAUGGCAGGAGUUCACUAUUGUGGCAACAUCAAACAGUGACAAAUUAGAGAGCACUGAAUUCAAGAUUUUCUGCGCUGCCUUCACUUAUUCCCCCUAUGCUCUACUGCAUUCUGAUAUCAGACUGGUAAUUUCAGCACCCAGCAAUAGCAGAUGGAAUCUAUUCAUCAUCCCAAUGACCCGGCACAUCAUAACCCACUCAUCAUCCAAUGACCCAGCACAUCGGCUGGAGGAACAGCACAGUGAGUUCCAGAGGUAACGGCAAGCCAAAUAAUUAGAAGCCUGGCUCCCAGGGAUGAUUUGAGGAUUAAUGGCUGUUUGUAGAGUGCUUGGAGUUCCCCAGCUGCAGCGUGCGUUUAGCUCUGGGGCUCAGCAGGCUGCAGGUGCUGGGCAGUGGAAGUGCAGCCCCAGUACUGUGGCUGGCCCGGUGCAGGUCUGUGUACCAGUCUGCAGUACCUCGGCGCUGCUGAGCUAUCAGGAGUAAACGAAGAAAACAGCUUGAGUGGCCUCCUGAUGCCAGCCAGAGCUUCCUUGUUCUUUUCCCCUUGGAAGCCCAUGGGUGACCUCCACAGACUGCAUUAAGCCACAUCUCAAGUGUGCCGGAGCUAACAUGCCACAGAAGGCUGUGACUCGUCGGGGCUGGGACCAUUCACUGUCACUAUCACAAGUGGAGAAACUUUUCUGUCAGGUGCCUGCGCAGUGUCUGAGACCCAGCCUGGCUUUUACAGCCCUAGAAGGAAGUGCUGAGUGCAUUGCUUUCUAAUCUUGCCCAGGGAGGUUUUCAGAGGAGAGGCUGUGCUGUAGGAAUCAGUGUAGGAUACAGAUGGAUCCAGCCAGCUUGCACUUGUUUGAGUCCACGAGGAGCAGUCGUGGGCGAGGCACUCGGGGAAAGUUCCCUUUGUCCCAUGGGAGAAGCACGUGGGCUUGGAAAGAUCCUUGAACCUGCGGAGGGGAGGAAUUUCUCCUUGGGCCUCAGAUGUCCCCCAGGGUGGUGCGGGGAGGAGCCCGAUGCUCCCAGCAUUGUCCGAGGCAGCAGCUGGUGGUGCUGUGGGACAAGGUUCUGCUGGCGCUGAGGUGCAGUGCUCAAGUGUGCUAGCAAGGGCAAUGACCCCUGGGGGAGUGGAACAGGUCAGGUUAUGGCUGCGGAGUCUGUCUUCUGUACAGAGGCAGUGAGCCCAUCCCAAGCUCCUUACUGCUCAUCCCAUCCUCUGGGGGAUGGAGAACUGCUUUUUUCCUUCCCCCUGUAGCGCCAGGAGAGCAAUCAGAACCUCUGAGCUAUGGAACAUCCUCCUUUCCCUCCUCCUCCUCUAGGAGGCCUGUUUUAACCUUUUGUCCCAUGCAGCAGCAAUGUCCAUAUGGCCCUUCACCUGCUAGGGCAAUGUUCCUUGUGGUCUCUCAGCCCAUGUGCUGAAUGCCACUCCUAUCCCAUUCCACCCUCCCUUUGGGUUUUGAGAUGCGAUUGAUCCGUUCUGCAAGUUCACACUGUGCUAACUCAGCACUCCCUGCAGUAUGUCCAACACUGUCCUGCUAAAAAAAAAGAAGUCACUUCUGGUAUUCAAGGGUCCUCAACCAAUGUCAUUUUUGUCCAUUGGGUUGGGAGAAAUUUACUGGGGGACAAUCAUGUCAUCUGAUCUUUGGCAAAAUGCUUCUCUUUGAAACCUUGACUCUUGGUUACGGGUAAUGCAGAUGAGAGUGCUGUGUCCAAUCUCCUCCAAGGAGAGCAGCGUGCUGAAGGGGAAUUAAAGGGCCAUGGGAAUUCUCAGCAUAAUUUUAUUAUGGUGACCUUUAAGGAGACGGUGGGGGGAUGGGUGAAGAACACAAAGAAGACACUGAGAACAGACCACACAGACAGCGCUUAAGGGGGGAAAGCAAACCCUAAGCAAGUUAGGAAGGGAGACAGGAGAGGAGAGAGAUGGAGCAGAGACUGAAUGAGGCUGGCAAGGAAUGGCGGAGCCACCUCCUUCCAGUUUAUCCAGGGAGUGACAGGAGUAGAUUUGGGGCUCUCCAUCCAUGAAAAACACCCUUCUGUGCAUCGUUCUCCAUUUUCCUGAAAUCUCUGCUUUUCUUCCUCCAGGCAACCAUUAAUCUAAUAUUAAGCCCCUUAACCUCUCUAAUUGUUCCCUUUCAGUGUCAGCUGGUUUCCUAUUAACCUUUCAAUCUCUCCGUAAUGCAGUUACUUCUGAUUCCAGCCAGCCCUGGCUCUAAAGCUUUACCUCCGGCAGUGAAUUUUCCAAGCUUUCCCUUUUUUUUUUCUCUUUCUUUUCUGUAAUGAUUAUAACUGCUGUUAAGGAGCCAGUUUGAACCAGCCUCUAAAUGCACAGGGCUGAACCACUUGGAGUCUAUAAAUAGCCCUUUGCUAACCUUGGGCCUUAUUUCGUUAAGUUGAUUGGCCUCUCUCUCUCCACUCCAUUGAAUCUCCCUCUUUCUCUCCUCUCUCCAUUAUUGAUGCUGGUUCUUUUGUUGCUAUCUGACACACCUUCUUGUUGAUAACAGGGUUGGUCAGUGCUAAGUUUUUCCCUCCUGAACAAAAUAGUAUCGUUGCUGGGGAAGUGUCCCUAGAAUUUUUUUAACAAGGAAAGCAGAGAGUGAGACAGGCCUGAAGCAGCAGGUCUGAAAACAACCGUGCCGUGCAAUAGGAAAUUGCCUAGCUGAGCACCAGUCACAGUUUGCUCCCUGUAGGCUGGAUUUCUCCUGUGACAUACAAUGUGAUCACACUCAAAUGCAGUCUCCUGGGCAUAUCCCAUUGUGCAGUACUGAAGCCAAGAUGUCUGUCUGCCCACAGACAAAUCAGGAGUUGCUGGCCUAAAGUUGAAACGGAGAUCUCGGAAUGCUAAGUAAACUGCCUGCUUCUCAGAGCGAUCCCCUCGAAGCUUGGAUGUCAUUAAUCAGUAUACUACUGCCGCUUGUCCCUGCAACAGGGCAGAAUGUGGUUUGCUUCACUGCCCAUCAGAUGCAGCUCUAUGGUACGUUUGUGCUGUCUCUUCUAACCCCACCUGCUUCUUCAGUGCUGAUGCUGAGCUCUCUUGAAUCCUGGUAGCUCUCCUCAGUGCCUGCAAACAGCUUAUUUUUUUGUAAAAUGCAAUGGCUGCUUGCAGUGAAGUUUGAUUUGGAGCAGUUGCGUGAGAUGACCUGGAGUAUAUUGUCAUGCCACUGUUUUGCUGUGUGUCCAGAGGCAAGGUCUUUCCCUGCAGAGCUGCAUUUUCCCCGAUGAAAGAAGAGAGAGGCACAGGAAACUUUUGUGGUUUGUGCAUUGGUUGAUAUUCACAGUCUUUUGCUUCAGCUCAGGAGGAUUUGUGUGUCUGAAAGCUCUUCUGUUUUCCCUAGCUGUAUCAUUUGUCUAAUACCAGCUGUUACCUUUCCCUGAGAGUCCUGCCUCAAGGUCAACAGCGGCUUACCAAAAUAAUAGGAGCCAUUCUCUUCUACUCUCCGUGCAGCCCUGUGCGUCCCUGCUUGCCCACUCACUGCUAUUUCUUGCAGCAACCCUUUGUCUU